rnacentral:rRNA from 1 species
AUACGGAGGGUGCGAGCGUUAAUCGGAAUAACUGGGCGUAAAGGGCACGCAGGCGGUGACUUAAGUGAGGUGUGAAAGCCCCGGGCUUAACCUGGGAAUUGCAUUUCAUACUGGGUCGCUAGAGUACUUUAGGGAGGGGUAGAAUUCCACGUGUAGCGGUGAAAUGCGUAGAGAUGUGGAGGAAUACCGAAGGCGAAGGCAGCCCCUUGGGAAUGUACUGACGCUCAUGUGCGAAAGCGUGGGGAGCAAACAGGAUUAGAUACCCUGGUAGUCCACGCUGUAAACGAUGUCGAUUUGGGGGUUGAGCUUUAAGCUUGGCGCCCGUAGCUAACGUGAUAAAUCGACCGCCUGGGGAGUACGGCCGCAAGGUUAAA